rnacentral:lncRNA from 1 species
UGGUGAAGUAUAUGUUCCUUAAUAAGUGUUUUUUUCCUGUUCAGAAGAUCCCCGUUGGAAUCGUUAAAAGGAUCCAGGUAUCACCAGCACAGGGGUGAAGGAAGCCAAAGGGGUUUUACCAGAGCCAGUAGAGCUGCACUGUUUAUAGCAGGUGCAGAUUCUGAAACUGCCACAGUAAAAUGCUCGACAACCAUGCCUGUUACUUCCUUCCCUCCCGCUCCUUCAGCUAAGGAAGCUGAGUCCUUGACAUGGAGCAACUUCAGCUUGGUUUGAUUGCCAUGAGAUGUUGCAUCUCAUUUAAACCAAUGGACUGCUUGUGCAGGU